GACGAACGCUGGCGGCGCGCCUAACACAUGCAAGUCGAACGGAGCUUUCUCUUUCGGGGGAAAGCUCAGUGGCGAACGGGUGAGUAACACGUGAGGAACCUGCCUUCAAGAGGGGGACAACAGCUGGAAACGGCUGCUAAUACCGCAUAAGACCACAGAGCGACAUCGCUCAGUGGCCAAAGGAGAAAUCCGCUUGAAGAUGGCCUCGCGGCUGAUUAGAUAGUUGGCGGGGUAACGGCCCACCAAGUCGACGAUCAGUAGCCGGACUGAGAGGUUGAACGGCCACAUUGGGACUGAGACACGGCCCAGACUCCUACGGGAGGCAGCAGUGGGGGAUAUUGCACAAUGGAGGAAACUCUGAUGCAGCGACGCCGCGUGAGGGAAGAAGGUAUUCGUAUUGUAAACCUCUGUCUUUGGGGACGAAAGAAAUGACGGUACCCGAAGAGGAAGCACCGGCUAACUACGUG
rnacentral:rRNA from 1 species